AGAGUUUGAUCCUGGCUCAGGAUGAACGCUGGCGGCGUGCCUAAUACAUGCAAGUGAAACGGGUAUCUUCGGAUACCAGUCGCGGACGGGUGAGUAAUACAUAGGCAACCUGCCUUUAUGAGGGGGAUAACCGAGGGAAACUUUGGCUAAUACCGCAUGAAGACUCUAAGGCAUCUUAGAGGGAUAAAAGUUGGGAAACAACGCAUGAAGAUGGGCUUAUGGCGCAUUAGCUAGUUGGUGAGAUAGAAGCCCACCAAGGUAAUGAUGCGUAGCCGACCUGAGAGGGUGAACGGCCACAUUGGGACUGAGACACGGCCCAAACUCCUACGGGAGGCAGCAGUAGGGAAUUUUCGGCAAUGGGGGGAACCCUGACCGAGCAACGCCGCGUGAAGGAAAGAAGGUUUUCGGAUUGUAAACUUCUGUUAUAAGGGAAGAACGGAUUGGAUAGGGAAUGAUCUGAUAGUGACGGUACCUUAUUAGAAAGCCACGGCUAACUACGUGCCAGCAGCUGC
rnacentral:rRNA from 1 species